rnacentral:lncRNA from 1 species
AGUGGAGCAGAGAUGGCCUUCAGAGAGAAGAGGAAAGAAAAACAGGAACUUUGAUGACAUGGAGAAAUUCUGAGAUGCAGGGGAAUAUUGAGGGGCUUCCAUGGACUUGCCUUGAUCUUAGUAAGAAAGAAGGCCAAUAAGAUGAGGGAAAGAGAGUGGAAGGGAGUUGGGAUCUUAGGGGCUGUAUAUCAAAGUGUCAUGUUAACAGGAUAACUAGCAUAUAGCUGACACUAAAAAAGUUUCGUAACUUUGAGAUGAGUAGAAAAUAUUAUUUUGUUAUUUCAUUAUUCAUGUCAUAUAAUAUUAGCAUAGAUAAUAACAUAUAUAAUAAUAGUAACAGCAUGUAUUAGGUACUUAUGUCAUAUGUUUUGAACUUUACGCCUAUCCUUUGAUUUAAUACUGAGAACAGCCUUACUAAGUAGAUGCUAUGAUUAUCUUUAUUUUAAAGAUGUGAAAACUGAAACUUUGGAAGGAAGUUCUGAAACACUAUUGUGGGGCAUAGAGUAUCAAGUUUAGUAAGGAAAAGAAAAAUGAUUAUAAGAGAGAAUCGAGGGUCCAACUGAAGAUGGAUGGCAUGAGUUUAAGACAAAACUCUCAGCACAAUUCCAUGUUUACCUCAGCCAUGUUCUGCAACUUGGAGCAGUUGGUUGAGCUGACUGAGACUUCGAAUACAAUGGUUAGGAAAACAGUAACCUCUUUGCGUUCCACGUUGGACUUAAUGACUAUGAGUCAUGUCAUAUAUAGGAGGCAAGUUUUUCAGUGGAGAUAGGAACAACUGAAAUAUGUUCUUCAGCCUAGUGGAGACAAGUAAUUGUCAUUGGCUGGUGAGUGUUUCAGAUACUUCAAAGCAUGGGUUGUGCUUCACCCCACCCUCUCUAGCUAAACUCCUUGGCUAAUGGCCUGCAUGAUCUUAACUUCAUUCCGGAAAUACUGGUUAAGAGGAUUUGGGACAGGCCAUUUGGAGGCUGGUGAACCUGACAACUUACACAACCUACAUUUGCAAAGCCCAGUUAUUUUCUGACUAAUGGGUCAGAAAGAGGGGGCAGAAGAGGAGAGAGAAAUCUUCACCAAACAAACAGCCAGGCCAUCUGGGUGGAGUUGCUUAAGGCAGUCACAAAAAAAUGAUCACAUCAUUUACCUCUCAUUUAACAAGGGCAGAGCAGGGAUACUAGCUGUGAGACACUUCUGCUCCGGGAAAGGUAGGAGCAUUUGUACAAUCUUUCCAGUAUAGGGGAAGGGGGACAUGGGAGUAGAAGUUGGAUUGUUGAGUCACGAAGCAAAUAGGUGUCUUUUUAUUCUAAUUAACUUGAGAAAGAAAGAAUUUGGUAUUAUAUCAACCCAGCACUUAAACUUUUUACCUUCAUUGUAUAAAAACUGUUUGUGAAAAUUGUGCCACUAUGACUUACUUUUUGAUACGGAUAAUGGAGCAUUCUCUAAAGGGAGCAGAUGGAAUGAUGAGGAGGUUCAGAGUAGUGUCAAUCAUCAGGAAAGAGGGUGGCCCUGUUGGCCUGGGGGUGAGGGGAGAGGCUCUGACAAAGGUGCUCAGUCCCCAGCCAGGCUGCAUGUGGUUCUUGUCUACCUGGGUCCACCUGAAAAGACACUACCAGAUUGAUUUGGGGUGUAUCCUGGGCAGUGAGACUUUUGAAAGUGCAUUGGUUGAUUCUAAUGCACAAUCCAGUUGAGAACCACUGUUGAGGGAGCAGGGUGCCUGAAUCAUGAAAUAAAAAGAGGCUUUUUAUGGGAAAGGCUCUCUAUCUCUCUUCUUUAACACCAGGAAAGGAGCUGUAUUAGUGAUAGGAAGUGAUGGGGAAGCCAAUGGGGGCUCAAAAGAAAGAAAGCUUUGAUGCUUGGUACUGAAAUGGAAGUGGCGUGGUAAGUGGAGGAGCCCCUGAUGCUGGAAAUGAUCAAGGAGAAGGUGGACAACCAUUGACUGGGAAGGCUGAACUAGCCCAGUGAUGGCUAGAUAGUGUCAGGAGGACCAGAAGCAACCUCAAGUCCCUUCCCCUUCACUCAGGGCAGCUCAGUUUUCUCUCUUUUUCUGUAUUGGUUUGGGUUUCCCCAUAAAGAUUUCCUUUGAAGAAAGAGUCUGCUCAAAAAAACUUUUAAAACCACAUAACUAGUUGACCUUUAUGGCUAUUACCAAUCUGAAGUUCUGUAGCAUUAAAUCUUCUUUGAUGUUUUCUAAGAAACCAGGCUACUGAUUGAUCCAUUCUUCCAAAGGCCAAGGGGGAAAGGAAGGAGAGCUUACAAGGGUGGAAAGCAUGAGUAGAAGAGGGGAGACUUCUCUUAGCUGAGGGCCAGGGCAGGAGCCCUUAACCCUGUCUAGGCUUGGAACCACCUGGGAACUUUUCAGUAAGACACCCUCCCAAAGCAGUGAUAUCAGUCUCUGGGGAUGGUGCCUGGGCGUGGGUAUUCAUGAAAUGCAGCAGAGUUGAGAACCACUGGCUUAAUAGAUGGGCACUGAGGAGAACUCUUUUUAUACAUUGAGGCCAAACAUGUUAGACAACCACGAACACGGCAGUUCUUAAACUUCAGCUGCAUCAGAAUCACCUAGGCUUGUUCAGACAGAUCACUGGGCUCCACCCCCAGAGUUUCUGAUUUAGUAGGCCUGUGAUAAAGCCAAGAAUUUGCAUUUUUAACAAGUUCCAGGUGAUGCUGACACUGCUGAUCUGGGGGACCACACUUUGAGAACCACUGCUUUAACAAUAGGAAUUUACUUUUGACCUUAAAAACAACUCCCUAACAUUGGCAAGCGAUUGAUAGUGUGCACCCUUGAUGAUAUGAUAUAAUGAGAAUGGCACUUUGCCUCUGUGGUCUCCCUCCCAUUAAAUGCAUUAACUCAGUCUAAUCAUGAGUAAAACAUCAGACAAAACCCAAUGGAAGGACAUUCUACAACAUACCUGACCAGUAAUCCUCAAAACUAUCAAGGUCAGCAAAGCCAAGGAAAGUCUAAGAAACUGCCACAGCUAAGAGGAGCCUAAGGAGACAUGACUACUAAAUACAAUGUGGUAUCCUGCAUGGAAUCCUGGAAUAGAAAAAGCACAUUAGGGGCAGGGCACGGUGACUCACACCUGUAAUCCCAGCACUUUAGGAGGCUGAGGCAAGCAGAUCACUUGAGGUAAGGAGUUUGAAACCAGCCUGGCCAAGAUGGUGAAACCCCAUCUCUGCUAAAAAUACGAAAAUUAGCUGGGUGUAUUGGCGGGCGCCUGUGAUCCCAGCUACUUGGGAGGCUGAGGCAGAAGAAUCACUUAAACCCAGGAGGUGGAGGCUGCAGUGAGCCGAGAUCGUGCCACUGCACUCCAGCCUGGGCAACAGAGUGAGACUCCAUCUCAAAAAAGAAAAAGGAAAAAAGACAUUAGGGAAAAGCUGAGGAAAUAAUGUAUCAAUACUGAUUCAUUGGUCAUGACAAAGGUACCAUAUUAAUGUAAUAUGUUAACAAUAGGGGAAACUCAGUAUUAGGUAGGGAGCGCUCUGUACCAUUACUGCACUAAUUACAUUACUGCACUAAUUACAUUAAUUCUGUAAUUUUAAAACCAUUCUAAGAUAAGCAGUUUAUUUGAAAAAAAAAAAAAAAAAAAAAAAAAAAAAAGAACUUCCUGACUGCUGAAAUACAGACCGUUCCUGAUUGUGGUUAUGGAGGAGGUGUCUUCAAAAGCAUCAAGGAAAAAAUAUCAAAUAAUUGUAUUUGUUUGACUGAAGACUUAUCUGGAUACAGGAGUUCCCCUCAGCCUUUUGAGUGUUGGUCGCUGAUCGUGGUUAUGGAGGAGGUGUCUUCAAAAGCAUCAAGGAAAAAAUAUCAAAUAUUUUGAUAUUUGAUAUCAAAUAUCAAAAUUUGCCAUGGUGCCCAGCAUGGUUCAAGAUCAUAAGUGUCAAGCACAUCAGGUAAGGAAGAUAAUAAUAAUUCAAGGGCAAAUGAAUUGCCCCAUGGACAGUGAAUUACAGUAUGCUACAAUGGAUUUGUUUGGACCAUUUAUCUUUUCUUUUGAAUUGACUUAACUGUACAUUUGUAGGAGAUAAGCAGGAAAUCAGAAGCACUCCUAGGGAUUGGCACUGGUCUAAAUGACAGCCCUAAGGAGGAGCUUAGAUACCAGAUUCAUCCUCCAUCCAGGCAGAAGCUCCCCAGGGAUAAAACUGCAAGGUUAAAUGUGAAACUCAAAAUUUGAAGCAAAAGCCUCUCCUCUUCUGCACUUCUUUUCUUCCUAAGUUGAGCAGUAAUACUAGAAACAGAGUCAAUUGAACCUGAAUAGCUCCUCUGGGGUACCAGGCAUCAUUCUAAGGAACUCGUUUCAUCCUCACAGAGGCACAGAUGGGGUAUGUAACUUGCCAAAGCUCACACUGCUUGGAGUAGAGUCAGGAUUCUAAUCUGGCUUGUCUGGCUCCAGAGCCCACGUUCUAAACCAUUAGGCUCAUUCUGCCUCUCUUGGAGAAGACACAAGAAGUCCCAGUCUUGGCUAGCCUGGCUAGUUCCAGAGACCUCCAUAGCUAAACAAGGUGUAGAAAUAGAAUGUCCCGUCACUUAGCUAUACUUCUAUCCUUCCCACCUUCUACACAACUACCAUUACCAUUGCCACCAGCAACUGGUAAAUAUUGAUGGAGCUUCUUUUCUUUGCCAGGCACCAUAGAUACAAAAACUAAAAAAAAAAAAAAAGAGACUGUAAUCUUGACCUCAGGAACUACAGAGGAGAUAGACAUCCAAGCAAAUAUGCCAACAAAAUCCCAAGUGGGGUCUAGUAAGGGCCAAAAAAAAAAAAAAAAAAAAAAAAAAAAAAGAGCUGGUGUAGCCAGAUGGGCAGGGACUCACCUUGCUUCAGGGACAAAUUUGCAGUGGUGAUGAAUUCCUUUCAUUCUUAGCUUUCCUCCUAUUACUUCCCUGAUUUAUUUUACUUACAAAUGACACGUCUAAAUGGCAGAGACCUGAAGUUCUCUUGAUGGGGUGCUGAGAUGUUCAGAAGGGAGGUAUCCUGUUUAACCAACAGAUCAUUUAUAGAUAAAGAGAGGCUCUAACUUAGCAUACAGUUCAUCUAUUUCCUUCCCCCAAGAAAGAAGGGAUAUUUACAUCUCCUCUAUUCCUUCUUCCAGGGCAAGAAUCUUCUGUUCCAUAUGCAACAUCUUCUGGCAGCCUUGUCCUUUUUCUGUCCUUGACGACUACAAUAACAAACAGCUGUUGCCGAGGCAUUGCUGUUGACGUGUUACCUUUGAAACCUCCCUCCUGUUAUGGAAUAAGCCUCUUCCAGAUCAUGGCUCAUUAUCAUCUAGUCUGACAAGCAGCCUUGUUGCCACGGAGACCCAAAGGGAUCAGGCGUGGCAUUUGCCUGCAUCAUCACCCCCUCCAGGGGAACUAUAAGGACUCUUCUGUGCGUCAUGCGUGGCUGUCCUGGGACUGGCUGCCACCAGACUUUUCCUGCGGGUAAAACCUAAACAAAUGAUCAGCUGCAGAUAAUAUCAAGACCUCUGUUUGAUAUGUUAAUAGUGACAGCCAGAUUUCCACAAUUAACAACGAGGUGGGAAGAAAACACUGUAGUCACCAGACUUGGGAGGAGAGGGUUUGUAUUCACAUAAACACAACCUCACGUCACUGCUUGCCACCACAAAGGGCUCUGUUCACUGUUUUGUUCUCAAAGAUCAUCCUUGCGCUCAUCCUCUGAUCUUGAAUUUCUACAUAACUUUCUCAGUUUAUAUGCCCUGUGGCAAGUGCAGCAAGCACUGUUUCCUGUUUCUAAACUUGUAGAAAAUCAUCCAUACAUCUUACAGUUGUCAGUUUUAACCAGAUAACAGUGGCACUUUGUUGCUGCUUUUUUAUCUUUAGCUUAGGUUAACAGGACCCUGGAAGUAAAGUUGUUGAUUUAUUCAAUAGAGUAUUCUCAAUUAAUUUGGCUAGAUUUCUACAUGAUUCAAAAUCUAAAAAAGUAGAAAUGCAUGCUUACAUGUCUAAGGCCUGAAAAAUUGGUAGUGACAUCCCAAAAUAAAUGAAGGUUUUAAAACAAUAAAUGAUCUCUUUUUUUUUUUUUGCUUCUGUGCUUGGGGAGAAGCAAUGAAGGAAACAACAAUGUUGCUUUAAGGAGUGAGGACCCCAAAAAUAAGAAUAUAUAAUUAUGACAGAUAGGGCAUAGGGCGUUGUUCAGAAUUGAUGGGGCUGGUGCACACACAAACAUUUUAAUAGUUCUAAUACUUUGUGUACACUCUUGCGAUGAAGUGAUGACUUCAUUAAUUGAUUGAAUAAUAUUUAUGCAAUGCUACUAUGUGCUAGCUAUAGAACUAAGCUUAGUCUCUUAAGAUCUUAACAUUCUGAAACUAUUAAAAUGUAUAAUCACCAUUUGUAAAAGUAAAUAUACUAAUCUAAUAAUUUGGAAUGUACAUUACAGUAAAAAAAAAGCAGGGGAACAUCCUGUAAAAUGUCACUCAGAGAUAACCACCACUUACAGAGUGAAGUAUAUUCCUGCUUUUUGCGGAUAGUGUGUGCGUAUAUAUGUUUAAGCAAAGCUAACAAUAUACUAUUUUUAUAAUUGGCAUUUACUUUUUCUUUUGCUUAACUUUAUAUCAUAACCUCUUUCCCACAUCAUUACAAACUCUUCAUAAAUAAUCUUACAAAUGGUUAUGUAAUAUUUAUCUUAUUUGUAACACAUACUAUCUUCUUUUUUUCAUCAACACACUGCAUGGAUAACAGAUUUAUUUUUUAAGUCAAAAAUCUUUCUUGGCUACACUAACCAAUGUUUUUGGUUUUUGUUUUGUUUUGUUUUGUUUUGAGACAGAGUCUCACUCUGUCUCCCAGGCUGGAGUGCAGUGGUGUGACCUCGGCUCACUGCAACCUCCGCCUCCUGGGUUGAAGCGAUUCUUCUGCCUCAGCCUCGCAAGUAGCUGGGAUUACAGGCAUGUGUCACCAUGCCUGGCUAAUUUUUGUAUUUUUAGUAGAGAUGGGGUUUCACCAUGUUGAUCAGGCUGGUCUCAAACUCCUGACCUCAAGUGAUCCACCCUCCACGGCCUCCCAGAGUGCUGGGAUUAUAGGUGUGAACCACCACGCCUGGCCACUAACCAAUGUUCCUUAGAAAAGUUAACCUCAUUUGUGUUUGGGGAUGUCACUCCCGUUCUCUUGGAGAUACAAGUGCACACACACCACAACCCUUGGAGCCUGACAGGCCCAGACCAUAGAUGUGUGUCCAACACGAUGACCUUUCCUCAUUCCCUUGUGGGUCCUCCUGAUGGGCCAGGUCUUCAUGUUUUUACUGAUGAAUUCAAGACCCAGCACUUCGGAUUCAGUGUCCCUCAACACUGCCACAUAGCCAUCCUCCCAUGUGCUUCCUGGUGGUGGGUCACUCCCUAACACCAUUAUGAGCACCUAAUAUGUGUCAAACACUGAUCUAGAACAGAAACCAAACACAAGACAAAUAAAAUUCUUUUUUUUUUUUUUUUGAGAGAGAGUCUCGCUCUGUCACCCAGGCUGGAGUGCAGUGGUGCAAUCUUGGCUCACUACUACAACCUCCGCCUGCCAGGCUCAAGAAAUCCUCUCACAUCAGCCUCCCAAGUAGCUGGGACCACAGAUGUGCACCACCAUGUCCAACUAAAUUUUUGUACUUUUGGUAGAGAUGGGAUUUCACCACAUUGGCCAGGCUGGUCUCGAACUCCUGGCCUAGGGUGAUCCUCGGCCUCCCAAAGUGCUGGGAUUACAGGUGUGAGCCACCACACCCAUCUGCAAGGCAGAUAUAAUUCUUACCCUUGCAGAACUUACAGUCUUGGAGGAGAUAAGCAUUUAAUCAAGUAAUUAUGACAUUUGCUACAAGAGUUCAUAGCAGAGGGGACUUAACCAGCGUAGGUGACAUUUAAACUAAAAAUGUGAAAAACCUGUGAAAUUAAUCAGAAGAAGAGGAGGAAAGCAACUCCACUGUGUUUCCUGCUAGGUCUCAUCUUCCCAACAGAUGCUUGGACUCUCUUCAUCGCCACUUUGAAAUAUGAGGACACUCUUAAUUUAGGUCAAAUUUUUUUCCUCCUGGACUUGCAAUAUGUUGUUUCCUUUUUCUGGAACACAUUAUGAUACUUCCUUGAAACGGCAAGAUUCUUU